AUAUAUUAUUUUCAAGAAUAAUAAAAUUAAUUUAUAUUCGAGUCAAAUCAAUUAUAACAUUCUUUGAGAUCAUAUAUCAUCACAAUAAUUGCUCCAUAAAUAACUUCAAUUAUAAAUAAUUUUCUACAAUUAACUUUCAUCAUAAAUAAUUUUCAAUAAUUAUUUCAAUAAAUAAUUACAAUCGCAAGCAUGCAUAAAUUUAUUUAAUUCAUAAUUUACCAGAUAAAUUCAGUAAAAGUAAACACUACUUACCUCAAAAGAAAAUCCAAACUAGAAAUUCUAGGGAUCUCGAAAAUCCUUCUCUGAACCUG
rnacentral:lncRNA from 1 species